rnacentral:rRNA from 1 species
GAUGAACGCUGGCGGCGUGCCUAAUACAUGCAAGUCGAGCGAACAGACGAGGAGCUUGCUCCUCUGACGUUAGCGGCGGACGGGUGUAACACGUGGAUAACCUACCUAUAAGACUGGGAUAACUUCGGGAAACCGGAGCUAAUACCGGAUAAUAUAUUGAACCGCAUGGUUCAAUAGUGAAAGACGGUUUUGCUGUCACUUAUAGAUGGAUCCGCGCCGCAUUAGCUAGUUGGUAAGGUAACGGCUUACCAAGGCAACGAUUCGUAGCCGACCUGAGAGGGUGAUCGGCCACACUGGAACUGAGACACGGUCCAGACUCCUACGGGAGGCAGCAGUAGGGAAUCUUCCGCAAUGGGCGAAAGCCUGACGGAGCAACGCCGCGUGAGUGAUGAAGGUCUUCGGAUCGUAAAACUCUGUUAUUAGGGAAGAACAAAUGUGUAAGUAACUAUGCACGUCUUGACGGUACCUAAUCAGAAAGCCACGGCUAACUACGUG